GGAGAGCGCGCGAUUGUCGGAACAUGGAGCGCCGCACUCAUCGGAAGUAGGGAAAUCUCUGUGUGGGGCUCCGCUCACCAACCCACAGCCUGGCCGGAGAACCUUUUUUGCAAAAAUUUAGACAUUCUGAACAUCUAGUUGGCUCCAAAUUGUGAACCACAGGAUGAGUAUUCAGUGGGCAUGAGAGAUUGAGAACAUUCUACCACACCAUAAACCUUGGUGUAGAUCACUUCCUAUUCUGUGGAUUGAAGCCAGAGAGCACAAUGAGUACAAGAAAUCCUCAAAGAAAGCGGCGUGGUGGAGCUGUGAAUUCUAGACAAACCCAGAAGCGAACUCGGGAAACAACUUCAACCCCUGAGAUUUCCUUGGAAGCAGAACCCAUAGAACUUGUGGAAACCGUUGGAGAUGAAAUCGUGGACCUCACCUGUGAAUCUUUAGAGCCUGUGGUUGUGGACCUGACUCACAAUGACUCUGUUGUGGUUCCUUAGAAAGGAGAAGGCCAAGGAGAAAUGGGAGGAGGUUGCGCCAAGACCAUGCUGACAGCUGUGUGGUGAGCAGUGAUGAUGAAGAACUGUCUAAGGACAAAGAUGUAUACGUGACUACCCAUACUCCUCGAAGCACCAAGGAUGAAGGAACUACUGGACUUAGGCCCUCGGGCACCGUCAGUUGUCCGAUCUGCAUGGAUGGAUACUCUGAGAUUGUGCAGAAUGGGCGUCUCAUUGUUUCUACAGAAUGUGGCCACGUCUUCUGUAGCCAGUGCCUCCGUGAUU
rnacentral:lncRNA from 1 species